AGAGUUUGAUCAUGGCUCAGGAUGAACGCUAGCGGCAGGCUUAACACAUGCAAGUCGAGGGGUAUAGUUCUUCGGAACUAGAGACCGGCGCACGGGUGCGUAACGCGUAUGCAAUCUACCUUUCACAAAGGGAUAGCCCAGAGAAAUUUGGAUUAAUACCCUAUAGUAUAUAUGAAUGGCAUCAUUUAUAUAUUAAAGAUUUAUCGGUGAAAGAUGAGCAUGCGUCCCAUUAGCUUGUUGGUAAGGUAGCGGCUUACCAAGGCUACGAUGGGUAGGGGUCCUGAGAGGGAGAUCCCCCACACUGGUACUGAGACACGGACCAGACUCCUACGGGAGGCAGCAGUGAGGAAUAUUGGACAAUGGGCGCAAGCCUGAUCCAGCCAUGCCGCGUGCAGGAUGACGGUCCUAUGGAUUGUAAACUGCUUUUGUACAGGAAGAAACAGUUCUACGUGUAGAACCUUGACGGUACUGUAAGAAUAAGGAUCGGCUAACUCCGUGCCAGCAGCCGCGGUAAUACGGAGGAUCCAAGCGUUAUCCGGAAUCAUUGGGUUUAAAGGGUCCGUAGGCGGUUAGAUAAGUCAGUGGUGAAAGCCCAUCGCUCAACGGUGGAACGGCCAUUGAUACUGUCUGACUUGAAUUAUUAGGAAGUAACUAGAAUAUGUAGUGUAGCGGUGAAAUGCUUAGAGAUUACAUGGAAUACCAAUUGCGAAGGCAGGUUACUACUAAUGGAUUGACGCUGAUGGACGAAAGCGUGGGUAGCGAACAGGAUUAGAUACCCUGGUAGUCC
rnacentral:rRNA from 1 species